rnacentral:rRNA from 1 species
AAAGUUUAAUAGGUCGAACAGACCUUAUUUUUAAGCGGCUACACCUAAAAUUACCUUUAGUCCAACAUCGAGGUCACAACCCUUCUCAUCGAUUAGAACUCUUAAAGAAGAUUAUG